CUCUGGCCCGACGGCGACUGGGCCAGGGCGGAAAGAG
rnacentral:ncRNA from 1 species